rnacentral:rRNA from 1 species
AGCAGUCGCCGCGGUAAUACGUAUGUCACAAGCGUUAUCCGGAUUUAUUGGGCGUAAAGCGCGUCUAGGUGGUUAUGUAAGUCUGAUGUGAAAAUGCAGGGCUCAACUCUGUAUUGCGUUGGAAACUGUGUAACUAGAGUACUGGAGAGGUAAGCGGAACUACAAGUGUAGAGGUGAAAUUCGUAGAUAUUUGUAGGAAUGCCGAUGGGGAAGCCAGCUUACUGGACAGAUACUGACGCUAAAGCGCGAAAGCGUGGGUAGCAAACAGGAUUAGAUACCCCGGUAGUCCCUGUCUCUUAUACA